GAAAAAAAAAAAUCCAUUAAAAAGAAAUUUGUUAGAUACUUUAGACAGCAAAUGCUCUCAUUUUAUUCAGUUCAAGGAUACUAAUUUUAAUGAUAUCAGAAUUGUUUUAUAAGGAAAAAAUUAUUAAAAGCUUAUCAAAUAAUAAGAUUUUUCAAGGUCUUAACAGACAUGAAACGAAAUUUCCCUUACUUUAUGAACAAAGCACCUUUCACCUGAGAACAAGAGUAAUUUUUUUUCUCCCUGACGUUGAUUGACAAGCACUUCACUGACAGUGAUGGGAAUUUAUGACAACCAAUUUCGAUUACUUAAUUCACAGUCCUCAUCUGUGGUGAAUUCUGAACGCGUCUAAUAUUUUAAAUUUCCAGAUAUAGUUUUAAUUUUCUGGGGAAAGGAACAGCGCUCCACAUCUCAUACGUUGUCUCUCCUAUUUCCGAAGGAAUAAUUACGUAAUCUUUUGCUUUAACAAAAUUGCUUCUAGAAAGAGCCAUCGGUGUAAACAGUAUUUGCCAAGAUUGGGAAAGAUAUCCUCUGUAGAUUAGUCUGGGAUAGCUUAGAUUUUUUUAAGGAGUCAUGCUGUUAAAACAAGUGUUGGUUCUGUUUCUUCUGCUAAAUACAAUUUUGUAUACUGUUGAGAUAAAUACAUUGUCCAAGUGUUUAAUCCUCAUCGUACUAAAACUUUUGGCAACCAUGACAUAACGCAUGAGUUUUCGUCUUAACUAAAAAAAACAUUUACAGUUAGUUACUUCGAUAAUAUGUUUUAAUGAUCUUCAGUAAUUGAAAUUGAAAAUUAGUAUCUACAAUGUUUAAGAUGCCUUGAAAAUUUAAAUUUUGAGGGCAUCUUAAAAAAUGACCUAAAAAUCUCAUCAUCAUGUGUCAUUUAAAACAUUGUCAUAUAUAAUUUGUUUUUGUACAUCUUUUUAUGAAGAAAAUAUUCAGUAUUUUUGUUCUUAUAUACUAAUUAUUUGUUUAAUACUUAUUUGUAUACAUGAUUUAUGAUUUGUAUAUACCAAGAGAAAGUUCUUAAAAAUUAGAAAUAAAAGUUGCUGCUAUAAACAAUUGUAGACUGCAUUGAAUUUCUGUCCUAUUAUUCAAUAAUAAAUUAAUAUUGUAAACUUGCUUGGUUGUAAAUUUAAUUUAUCAUUUUGUUCAACUUUAUUUGCUUUACAAAGAAUGUAGCUAUCAUGAUUUAAUUUUUAUCUAUGUAAAAUAUCCAACUCUUUGCAAAUAUUACCGGCAUUUUUCAAUGCAUCAGGCUAAUUGAAAAAUCUCAUCUGAAUAAUACACUUUAAACAAAUUAUAAUUAGCCUUUAUAUGCAUUUAUGUCAAUAAGGAAAUGUUUGAAGAAUUAUUAAAUUAGACUGAAUUAACAUAAGAAAAAUAUGCAAAAAAUGAUUGCAAAAAAUGUUUAAUAAGGCUGUUUAUCAUGAGCAUUCUCGAAUUAGGCUAAUUCCAAAUUUCAUUUAUAUAUUUCAAUUUAGCCUAAAGUUAUUAACUUUUUAAAGUGUAAGGCUGAUAGGCAAAUAGCGAGAUCCUCAAUUUAGCUACUAAAAGGCAAUGCAAAAUGACAGUGGCUGUUUGCAAAGUUCCAGAUAAUUUAAAUAACCAAUGAUAUUUUUACCAUACAUCGUUAAUUAAUUUCUCAUAUGAAUGAAUUGUCAGUAUUAUAUUUUUGAUUAAUAAUAAACGAAUACUAUAAAUCCCAAUUGUAGUUUUAUUUUAAUUUACUGGCCAUUAAUUACAUUUCAUCAUUAUUUGUUUCUAUUUAAAUUCAUCUUUAUCAGUCUUUUUCCAAGAUAUAUAAAUUUACGUUACAAUAUUAAUUUGCUUUAAUUUAAAUGCUUCAUUAUCUGUCUUUUCAUAUAAUGUAUGAGUACAUUCACAUUACAAUAUCAAUUUGAUUUUAUUUGAAUACUUCUUUAUCACUCUUUUUACAUGACAUAUGAAUAAAUUUACAUUGCAAUA
rnacentral:lncRNA from 1 species